rnacentral:ncRNA from 1 species
AAGAGGCGUGUGAGGUGAGAGUCUCAAGCAAGGUUCUGUGGGAAGGUGAGGGUGAAAUUCCCUUGCCUGACCCGAU